GACAACUUGGCCGAGUGGUUAAGGCGACAGACUUGAAUUUUCACGUUCACGGUAUCUGUUGGGUUCGCCCUCACAAGUUCGAAUCUUGUAGUUGUCG
rnacentral:tRNA from 1 species